AGAAUCAACGCUGGCGGCGUGCCUAACACAUGCAAGUCGAACGAGAAAGUGGGAGCAAUCCCACGAGUAAAGUGGCGCACGGGUGAGUAACACGUGACUAACCUACCCUUGAGUGGGGGAUAACCUAGGGAAACCUGGGCUAAUACCGCAUAAUACCUACGGGUCAAAGGAGCAAUUCGCUUUAGGAGGGGGUCGCGGCAGAUUAGUUAGUUGGCGGGGUAAUGGCCCACCAAGACAGUGAUCUGUAUCCGGCCUGAGAGGGCGCACGGACACACUGGAACUGAAACACGGUCCAGACUCCUACGGGAGGCAGCAGUGGGGAAUUUGCGCAAUGGGGGAAACCCUGACGCAGCAACGCCGCGUGGAGGAUGAAGCCCCUUGGGGCGUAAACUCCUUUCGAUCGGGAAGAUAAUGACGGUACCGGAAGAGGAAGCCCGGCUAACUUCGCGCCAGCAGCCGC
rnacentral:rRNA from 1 species